UACUGAGGCCUUUCCACAGAGCUAGCUCUGUGGUCACGUGGGUCUGAGGCGGCGGUCACGUGGGUCGGAUGCUCGUUAAUUAUACAGAAUUUUAGGCUUUCAAUACACUUAAACAGAAGAGUGAGAAAAAAAUUCACCCCCCUCAGAGUUGUCAUGAGUAUAAACUAGAUAAUUUAGACAAAAAACAUGUUUUGGUACCAGGCUGUAAACAUGUUUAUUUCUGCUGUGAAAUCGGCAUUUUUAACAUGGGAGUCAAUGAGGAUUUGCUCGCUUCUGACACCAGCCCCCAGCGGAUGAGGGUGGAACUGCAAUUUUUCUUACUUCUGGGAUGGGACCAUUUUUAGAGCGGCAUUGUGGGGGCUUGGGGGAAACACAAGACACAGUGGUGGCUGGCCAGUAGAGGGCGAUAGGGCGCCGCCCUCCCAGUUUUUCCGUGUUUUUAAUUUUUAUUAAAAAAAUAAAUAAAUAAAAUUAACAAUAAUCACAUAUUCUAAGUUAAUUGUGUGUUUUGUAACAAAAAUAAAUCAUAUAUAUAUAUAUCUAUAUUGGUCUCUGCCGGUCUCUGCCGAUCUCUGCCGGUCUCUGCCGUGCGGUGGAGGCUGUGUGUGCUGUUUUUCAAUCGCCCAAACAGGACGAGACCAGCUGUCCAAUUGCUGACAAGAAUAUCAAAGGGUAGGAAUGGGAAUGUAUCCAAUCAGCGUCGAAGUUGUUUCAGAACGUUUCAGAAGCAUGAUGGGCGAUGGAGCUACCGCCAAAGGAUUCGUUGGUGUUCGGUAGAACUCGGCAGAGUCGUUUUUGGUCGUGACGCAGAUGUAACAUGGACGCUGCCGGUGACUACAACCAGCAUGGAUACUGGAUCUCAGCAGCCACUGAAUUCAGUUCGGUCUCUUCUCCAGCAUCCGUUCGAGAGGAGAACUAUGGUGGAAAAUCUUAAUGUCAAAGAGCUUGGACCAGAUCAGCCCGACGUAAAGAUAAGCCAGCAGGAGAAGGAGAGAGGUAAACUGUACACACUAGGCUUCUCCCGAAAUUGGUACACCAGGAAGCAGUGGCUAGCUGGAUGCAAUCACGCUAAUGCGUUAUUUUGCUUUCCGUGUUUGUUAUUCAAAACGGCUGGGACAGAUGAGGCAUGGAUGAGUCAGGAGUUACAGACAUGAAACAUUUUUCUGAGAAGGUGAAGAAACACGAGUCAUCCCGGGCACACAUGGACAACAACACGGUGAAGCUAGCCAUGCUAGGCAGCAGAGCUAACGUUGCCAUGCAGGGAACAACAGCAGCUGGGUGCAGAGGUUUUUCACACCAUUGUGAGCCAUGCAAAAGAAGAUUCUUGUCACCACACCCAUGACCACAGCCGAAUCAGAAAG